rnacentral:rRNA from 1 species
GACGAACGCUGGCGGCGUGCUUAACACAUGCAAGUCGAACGGAGAUAUAUGAUUGUUUACAAGAGUAUAUCUUAGUGGCGGACGGGUGAGUAACACGUGGGUAACCUGCCCUAUGGAGGGGGAUAACAUCAAGAAAUGGGUGCUAAUACAGCAUAAAGUAACUUGAGCGCAUGCUCAGGUUAUCAAGGAUUUAGUGCCAUAGGAUGGACCCGCGGCCCAUUAGCUAGUUGGUGAGGUAACGGAUCACCAAGGCGACGAUGGGUAGCCGAUCUGAGAGGGUGAGCGGCCACACUGGAACUGAGACACGGUCCAGACUCCUACGGGAGGCAGCAGUGGGGAAUAUUGCACAAUGGGGGAAACCUUGAUGCAGCAACGCCGCGUGAGUGAAGAAGGCCUUCGGGUUGUAAAACUCUGUCUUAGCUGACGAUAAUGACGGUAAGCUAGGAGGAAGCCACGGCUAACUACGUGCCAGCAGCCGCCGUAA